CAGUCGCCGCGGUAAUACGAAGGGUGCAGGCGUUACUCGGAAUUACUGGGCGUAAAGCGUGCGUAGGUGGUGGUUUAAGUCCGUUGUGAAAGCCCUGGGCUCAACCUGGGAAUUGCAGUGGAUACUGGGUCACUAGAGUGUGGUAGAGGAUAGUGGAAUUUCCGGUGUAGCAGUGAAAUGCGUAGAGAUCGGGAGGAACAUCAGUGGCGAAGGCGGCCAUCUGGGACAACACUGACGCUGAGGCACGAAAGCGUGGGGAGCAAACAGGAUUAGAUACCCGCGUAGUCCCUGUCUCUUAUAC
rnacentral:rRNA from 1 species